rnacentral:tRNA from 1 species
GGUGAGAUGGCCGAGCCCGGUUUAAGGCACUAUCUUGGAAAGGUAGCGGACCAGCAAUGGUCCCGCGAGUUCGAAUCUCGCUUUCACCGCCA